rnacentral:lncRNA from 10 species
CUCCCCUAUAAUUCCAAGUGACAUGGAAAUAAGCUUAUCUGAUGCUCCUCUGCAGGCCGCAGGAACCGUGUGUUUCUUGUUUAGCUGUGACUGUUUAAGCACCUGCAAAAGCCCAUCGAUGACUCAGGACAGCUUUAAUAUCUCUAGACCACUGUUUUCAAGCCAUGAAUUCUGAAACGGGGCCUAUCCCCGCCAUUCCUCACUGCUUAGCACACAGUAGCUAACCGGGAAGUACAUUUAAAGAUGAGGAGGCUGGCCGGCACAGUGGCUCACGCCUGUAAUCCUAGCACUUUGGGAGGCCAAGGUGGGCAGAUCGCUUGAGCCCAGGAGUUCAAGACCACCCUGGCCAACAUGGUGAAACCUUAUCUCUACAAAAAACAUACCAAAAAAAUGAGUUGGGCAUGGGGGUGGGUGCCUGUAGUCCCAGCUACUCAGGAGGCUGAGGUGGGAGGAUCACUCGAGCCUGGGAGCCCGAGGUUGCAGUGAGAUGAGAUCAUGCCACUGCACUCCAGCCUUGGGUGACAGAGUGAGACCCUAUCUCAAAAAAAAAAAAAAAAAAAAAAGAUGAGGAGGCCUAGAAGUACGUACCCACCAACAGAAGCUCCUUACUCACAGAAGCCUGAAGGGCUGUUCCUUCAUUCCCUACAGCCAUCACAGCACAGGGCACCAGGCAGUUUUUCUUUACACCUUCCUUAUAGUGAAAUCAACCCUGCUCCUCUCCCGGAGAUCUGGGAAGUGUGCAAGUCUCUGGAUGCUCACACAGCAGUUAAAUCCAGAGAGAAAAGCUAUUUCAGGGAAAGGCAUUUACCAUAUGCAGACGCAAUCAGACAUACUUUAAUGGAAUGUAAACUCCAGUCAGGAGUGAUUGUAGUUUUUCAAAAAGAAGAUUAGAAUCAAGAUUGGUUAGCAAAUCAGAAAUACCCAGUUAUCUCUCGUUUUCUUUCCUGAAAUCUCUCUAAGAAAAACAGCAAAUUGAUUUGAAAAGGCUUUCACAUACAGGAUAUAGCCAGAGAAGAAAAAGAUGAAAUCUGAGCGGGGUAUGCAGGAGGCUUUCACCAUCACCCAGAACGAAGGUAACUAGGCAGGCUCCACUGUGCUGCAUAUCAGUUCAAAUCUGCUUGAUAAAAACCUAUUGAACUAAAUAAUGAAUGAAAAUUUAGGGGAGAAUUUGCCCCUCCCUCAGUAAACAUAAUUAUCAAUAUAGUGGUUAAAAAGUAUGUCCACUUAGGCCGGGCGCGGUGGCUCACGCCUGUAAUCCCAGCACUUUGGGAGGCUGAGGCACCUAAGGUUGGGAAUUGGAGACCAGCCUGACCAACAUGAAGAAACCCUGUCUCUACUAAAAAUACAAAAUUAGCCGGGCAUGGUGGUGCAUGCCUGUAAUCCCAGCUACUCGGGAGGCUAAGGCAGGAGAAUCAUUUGAACCCGGGAGGCAGAAGUUGCGGGGAGCCGAGAUCGUGCCAUUGCACUCUAGCCUGGGCAACAAGAGCAAAACUCCAUCUCAAAAAAAAAGUAUGUCCACUUUAUCCAAGCAUAGAAUGUGUACAUUAAACAGACAAAAAGCUUGAUACUGCCAAUUUGUAUAAACUGUCUUUGGUUAAACUUAUCAAUUGAUUGUAGGGCAUUCAAUUAUAAACACACAUAUUCAGUAUUCAUGCAUUUGAUUUUAAGUGUAUAACAUAUGAGAACACGCCAGGCUUGGUGGCUCACACCUGUAAUCCCAGCACUUUGGGAGGCCAAGGUGGGCGGAUCACCUGAGGUCAGGAGUUUGAGACCAGCCUGGCCAACACUUUGGUGAAACCCUGUCUCUACUAAAAAUACAAAAAUUAGCCAGGCGUGGUGGCUCAUGCCUGUAAUCCCAGCUACUCAGGACGCCAAAGGAGGAGAAUCACUUGAACCUGGGAGGUGGAGAUUGCAGUGAGCGGAGAUCGCGCCACUGCACUCCAGCCUGGGUGACAGAAUGAGAUCCAUCUCAACAUAUGGGCAUGAGAUUCAGGUGUGUCCUUAUUUCAGCCCAAGUAGACUGAGGUAUCCCUCAAAAGUAGACCCAAGCAGACUGAGAUAUCCACCAAAUCAUCAACCUGAUCAUAUUUUAAAUCUCAAAAUAACAGUAGCCAACCACAAAUAAAUGGUCAAGCUUUCCACCUGUAGACCUUCAACAUCACAGCUUAAACCCAACAACUAUUAAAUUUACUAUUUCAGGUCAAGCUGCUAUGCUAAACAGUCUCAUUUCCUAAUAAGAAAAAGAUACGAACUAGAAUAGGAACUGUGAUUUAAAGGCUACAGGGAUGCAGAGCAUGGCCAUCCCAUCUAGUCUGGAAAACUAGGAAAUGACGCAGCAAUAUCUAACCAAAUCUGUAGGCAAAGCUUACUGUGCAGAGUGACAGAGCAGAGUUACAGAAUCCAUGAAAGCACCAGGCCACUCCUACUCCGGCCUGCACAGGUAGGCAAGGGCUGAAAAUCACUAGUUAUGGUUAGUGUAGUUAACAGAAGGCCAGCGGAGUCAUGAAAAUGUUCAAAAGUAAAACUGUCCAAGAAAAUCAGACAUUCCCAUCUCCAUGUUUUUAUAUGUCCAAAAUUUCUAUUCUGACUUAAAUCCUAAAUGUAAUUGAUCCAAUUUGGAAACUACUACAAAAAGCUCACCCCUCAAUUUUUUGCCAUUUUAUUGAGUUAUCUUUCUCAAUCAGGUUAAUUCCCAACGCUCUAAGCCAUACAUUGUAUGUAAUGCAUGAACUUCUUCCCCUUUUGUCUGGGUAGUGUCAGUUAUGUGGAGGUGGUACUAGUUAUUUGCAUAACUAGUACCUUGGGGGACCUGAGAAAACAGUCAUUCAUAUUCAGUGUGACAUAAUACAUAUAUGGUACUAACAAGAAAGAGUAUUUUUUAUUUGCUAGUGGCACAAUUUCAACCCAUAUCUAAGCACAGCCUCCAGGCAAUGUUCAAACCUGAGAUAAGAUUCAAUUCCCCACAGGGGCUUUACGGUGUGACAUAUGCAGAAAACGUCAUUUUAGUGCUAAAAGUGAGGCAAUAUUCCAGAAAACAGAGGAAAGGGACAAGAAACAGAUUAAAAGCAAAACACGUUUAAAUAUUAAUGAGAACAAUGCUACCGAUGUCCAUGAAAUUUUGUGCAGUACUGCACUGUGAAGCUAAGCCCAUUUCCAAAAACAGCUGAAUGGAAAGAUCUAUUGUUCCCUUUACAGCAAGGCAGCAGACUUUUUACAGAGAUUAAUUGACUGGCCCAAGUCACAAGGUAGGUGACAGAGUGGGCUGAACACGUAACCACCAUCCUAAGCACUGGGUCAAAAAAAACAAAGGCUGACUGUCAACUGAAAUUUAAAAGACGCAAAGACCAUCAGUCGGGUGCCCAAGUUGGUGAAUGAUGCAACCAACUGACAGAAGAUGGAGAGGGAAAAGGGCAGUUUUUGUAAAUUUGGGGACAUCUGACAAAAAGCUGAUGACACAGGUGGGAGUUUUUUGUUUGGGAUUUUUUUUUUUUUUUCUUAAGACAGGGUCUUGCUUUGUCACCCAGACUGGAGUGCAAUGGCUCAAUCAUAGCUCACUGUAGCUUCAAACUCCGGGGCUCAAGUGAACCUCCCGGGAUCAAGUGACCCUCCCGCCUCACCCUCCAGAGUAGCUGGGACUACAGGCGCGUGCCACCACGCCGACCUAAGUGUUUUUUUUGUUUUGUUUUUUGUAGAGAGGGGUCUAGCUAUGUUGCCCAGGCUGGUCUCCAUCUCCUGGGCUCAAAGCUGUCCUUCCUCCUAGGCCUCCCAGAGUGCAGGGAUUACAGGCAUAAGCCACCGCUCCCGGCCCGCCACAGCUGUCUCUCCUGGUUCACGGUCACCCAAACGCCGGCUCGAAGUGUGGGAGAGGAGGUUGGGGGCGACCCCAGGUGGGCACUGCUGGCGUCCGGCUGUCAAUCCACAGCUCACGUCCUCACAGGUGCGCGCCUAGAGUCACGCGUCCAGCACCGCCCGGCUGGCCGGGAAGAGGCGACCGGGUCCGUGGUCCGAGUCCCGCACCUCCGGCCUCUCUCUGGGCCCCGGGGCAACAGCCCCUCCCGGGCCGCACAGGCCGCACUGAGGGCGCCACUCCGGGGCUCCCGAACUCCCGGGCUCCCGGCGGGGACGAGGCGCAGGGACGGGGGCACUUCCGGCUCGCGGGGCCCGGGUCGCCCGCCCGCCCGACCCGCCCACCUGGCUGUCGCUGACGCAGAAGACGCGGCCGCCACGGCUCAGGCACACGCGGGCGCCCGGGGGCUGCGCGGCCGCGCCGCAGAAGGUGAAGGAACAGCGCGAGGCACGCAGCCGCCGCACCGUGGCGCGCACGAGCUCAGCCGGCCGGCGACCCCAGCGCGCCCACAGGACAGUGGCAGCCGGAAAGUGGGUUCCUGCAUGGUAACAAGACCUUAAAAUUGUGUCACUGGAGAAGGACGUGCAGUUCCCGCUGAGGAGAGACUUGGCCACUCCAGGACAACACAGGACUACAAGUCAGGAAUUUGAAGAUGAAAAGUGCUCAACAGUGAUAAAUCCUAAAUGUUUCACUGAACAACCUUUCAGAUAGCCUUCUUGAAGUUUGCUGAAUUAUGGCUAUAAGGACCACUCCCCACCCCUGCUAGGUAUGGAGAGGUCAUCUCCUCUAUCUGAAGGUGACCAACAUCUCCAGUUUUUCCAAAUUCCCUAAGGGUUUUGAGACCACACCUUCCCACAGGUACUCUAACUCCACCUGGCCAAUAGGAAUUUUCUAGGUUUACCCUUAGGUGUUUCGAGAUAUGGUCUCAGAAUACAUCAUGGGAAAAUUACAUUUUGGGGUCAAUCCUGUAUACCAAUUCUAGGUUAAAAGCAUGGGGACCACCAUGGUUCAACAUGAGCUGACCCUUGCAUUGAAGAGUACUGAUACCAUUCAUGCCUGGGGAAGGAAUAGAGGGAGGAAGAUAUGAAGGGCACAGUGAGAAGUGAAACAGUCACAUAACAAGCUCUGUUUAUGAUCCCGCCCUAAAAUGAUUUCAUUUUGCAAAGGUCAAGGAUAGAGUUGAGUUUCAUCACCCCUAUAUAACAAAGGAAUAGGGGAAGGAUGCAAAAAUAAUACACCAAGGGAUAUUAAUGUGUAUGCACCUGAUCCUCAUCCUGUAGUCCCUCACUGCUCAAAGUGUGGUCCUUAGAGCAGCAGCAGCAGCAUCACUUGGAAGCUCGCAAGAAAAGCGGAAUCCUAGGCCCCACCCAACCCCAAAUCAGCGUCUGCAUUUUGACAAAAUCCCAGGAGACUCACAAACACAUUAAAGUUAGAGAAGCACUGCUAACAUCUUCCUCUGUCAUUCCCUGGGUCUGGGCUACUCUAGACUCUAAUAAGACAUUUCCAAAAUGAUGUGGAAAAUAAGACCACAGACUAGGGAUUUUUUUUUUUUUUUUUAGAUGAAGUCUCACUUGCCCAGGUUGCAGUGAGCCGAGAUUGCACCACUGCACUCAAGCCUGGGUGACAGAAAAAGACUCCAUCUCAAAAAAAAAAAAAAAAAUGAAGAGCCAUGAAAUCCAUGGUUAUCCUCAAUAAAAUUUAAAUAUUCGAAAAGAAUGUAGGAUAAAAUGUGUUACUGCUGAGUCUCGUUAUUUGGUUAUGUUUGUAUUGAUUCAUUUGUUGUAUUGAUAAAGAUUAGUAGGUGGCAAAUUCUUCCUUUAGAAGGUUGUUUGUGACCCAAGAGGGCAUCAAUACAAAGACCCUAAAGCUGGGAUUCCGAAGCACAGAGUCGCGGGAGAGAACCAAAGCUCAUCGCAUCUGGUUUAAGACUCCUUCAGAGUUGGAUCAGCCUAAAAACAGGACAUGGUACAAGAUUUUAUUCAUUCCAAAGAUUGUAAAAAUUAAAUUCAUCCUGAGAAUUUAUCAGUCUAUGUGGGAGCUACAGACUUCUAUGAGCAAGCAGAGUACCUGGCAUUCCUGACCAUGCUAUUUCUACCAAUCAACAAAAACUACUAGAUACUCAGAGGGGAUUUAAUACAGAGAGCUGGCUACAACAUGACAAAACACCAGACAAGGGAGGGCACUGUGGCUCAUGCCUGUAAUCCCGGCACUUCGGGAGGCCAAGGCGGGUGGAUCACCUGAGGUCAGGAGUUUGAGAUCAGCUAGCCAACAUGGUGAAACCCCGUCUCUACUAAAAAUACAAAAAAUUAGCCGGGCAUGGUGGCAGGCACCUGUAAUCCCAGCUACUUGGGAGGCUGAGGCAGGAGAAUCGCUUGAACCUGGGAGGCGGAGGUUGCAGUGAGCCAAGAUCAUGCCCUUGCACUCCAGCCUGGGCAACAAGAGUGAAACUCCGUCUGAAAUAAAUAAAUAAAUAAACAAACGGACACACACCACAGAAGGGACAGUGAGGCAACCCAGGGAAUAGAAAGAGCAGAAGCCGCGACCCUCUGUAGGGCUGAGGGCACACAACACAGGUCAAGUUACCGUCGCCCGGGAUCCAGGGUCCCCUGGUGGAAGCUGGAACCCACAGAUCAGUGCUGUGGGAGAUGGAGCCACAGAGAAACAACUGCUGCUGGAGACAUCAGCAGGGGAAGAAGGCGGAAAAAUACUGUAGCCGCUCCACACCUCCAGCCCAACGCCCCAUGGCGGAACUUCACUAGAGGCCCCACGGCAGAAGAGCCUCCAGGAACCUCCUUGUGGACCAGAGGAGAGAGAUAGAGAGGCGGCAGGAGGCAAGGGUGUGUCUAAGACAAACAGGCCACAGCCAGCCCCUGGCCUUCCUGAAACUCCUCCCUUGGGUUCUUUUAAAAUUCAAUAUUCUGCUUCUGUUCCAGGGUUAAUGGGCUGAACUGUGUCCCCCCAAAUUCUAAUGUUGAAGUUCUAACCCCCAGUACCUCAGAAUGGGACUGCAUCAGGAGACAGGUACUUUAAAAUAGUCAUUAAGGUAAAAUGAGGUCACCACCUAAUCUGUUAUGACUGGUAUCCUUAUAAGGAUAAAAUAGUCAUUAAGGUGAAAUGAGGUCAUCACCUAAUCUGUUAUGACUGGUAUCCUUAUAAGGAGAGGAGACUAGACACAGACAUGCACAGGGGGACAAUCCUGUAAGGACAAAGGGAGAAGACAGCCAUCUCCAAGCCAAGGAGAGAGGCCUCAGGAGAAACCAACCCCGCCCACACCUUCAUCUUGGACUUCUAGCUUCCAGAACUGGGGAAAUGAAUUUCUGUUGUUGAAGCCCCAGUCUGCAAUACUUAGUUAUAGCAGCCCUUGCGAACCAGCACAUCCAAGUUCUCCGUCUCUGUCUCUAACCCCUCUCUCAACUGUCGGCCAUAAGUGAGCCUCUGCCCCCAACUUCUGGCCUCCUCUAUGUUCUCUUCCUUGGUGACCUCUGGCAGUGACGCUCAGUCCUCAUGGCCAGCUCUGGCCUCUCCCAGGCUCUGGCGCCGCAAUCAUCUCUUCCACUUGUCUCUGCUUGGAUAGUCUGUCAGCAUCUCAAAGGCAACAUGAAUAAAACCAAAUGCAUUUUUUCCUCCCACAAAUUAUCUCUUUAUCCUGAUUUCUCUUAUCUCUGUUCAUGACUUGUUCACCUUUUCACUAGGACCCAGAAUUCAUGCAUCUUGGAGUCCCAACUUCUCCAGCCCCUGUGUCUUGUUUAUUUCCAUAGCAGUUGGUAGGCGGGACCUCUGCACAGUCUCACAUGGUCCCUUCUUUCUAGUCCAGGCCCAGCUCAGCCCUCACCAGAACAGGCACUAGCACGACAGCCUGCUGGAUGAUUCCCGGUGCCCGUCCCCUGUUUCCCACGGUUCUGCCUCAUCCAGCACACUCUGCACUUGACUGCCUAAAGCACAGCGCUCAUCCCAUCACUCCUGCUUCUCAAACUCCUGCAGUGCCUGCCCCCACCCCAGAAAGUGCAGGCAGUCUUGCCUGGCAUUCAAGACCUUCCACUGAGCCUAAGCAACAUAGUGAGACCCCAUCUCUACAAAAAAUUUAAAAAUUAGCCAGGCAUGGUGGCACGUGCCUAUAGCCCCAGCUACUUGGGAGGCUGAGGCGGGAGAACUGCUGGAGCCCGGGAGUUCCAGGAUGUAGUGAUCCAUGUUCAUACCACUGCACUCCAGCCUGGGCAACAGAAGAGACCCCAUCUCUAAAAAGAAAAGAAAAAGACCUUCCAUUGGACCCACC